rnacentral:rRNA from 1 species
GUGCCAGCAGCCGCGGUAAUACAGAGGGUGCGAGCGUUAAUCGGAAUUACUGGGCGUAAAGCGCGCGUAGGCGGCUUUGCAAGUCGGGUGUGAAAUCCCCAGGCUUAACCUGGGAACUGCAUUCGAGACUGCAUUGCUAGAGUAUGGGAGAGGGAAGUGGAAUUUCCGGUGUAGCGGUGAAAUGCGUAGAUAUCGGAAGGAACAUCAGUGGCGAAAGCGACUUCCUGGACCAAUACUGACGCUCAUGUGCGAAAGCGUGGGGAGCAAACAGGAUUAGAUACCCUGGUAGUCC